rnacentral:rRNA from 1 species
GCGUAAAGAGCUCGUAGGUGGUUUGUCGCGUUGUUCGUGAAAUCUCACGGCUUAACUGUGAGCGUGCGGGCGAUACGGGCAGACUUGAGUACUGCAGGGGAGACUGGAAUUCCUGGUGUAGCGGUGGAAUGCGCAGAUAUCAGGAGGAACACCGGUGGCGAAGGCGGGUCUCUGGGCAGCAACUGACGCUGAGGAGCGAAAGCGUGGGGAGCGAACAGGAUUAGAUACCCUGGUAGUCCACGCCGUAAACGGUGGGUACUAGGUGUGGGUUUCCUUCCUUGGGAUCCGUGCCGUAGCUAACGCAUUAAGUACCCCGCCUGGGGAGUACGGCCGCAAGGCUAAAACUCAAAGAAAUUGACGGGGGCCCGCACAAGCGGCGGAGCAUGUGGAUUAAUUCGAUGCAACGCGAAGAACCUUACCUGGGUUUGACAUGCACAGGACGCCGGCAGAGAUGUCGGUUCCCUUGUGGCCUGUGUGCAGGUGGUGCAUGGCUGUCGUCAGCUCGUGUCGUGAGAUGUUGGGUUAAGUCCCGCAACGAGCGCAACCCUUGUCUCAUGUUGCCAGCGGGUAAUGCCGGGGACUCGUGAGAGACUGCCGGGGUCAACUCGGAGGAAGGUGGGGAUGACGUCAAGUCAUCAUGCCCCUUAUGUCCAGGGCUUCACACAUGCUACAAUGGCCGGUACAAAGGGCUGCGAUGCCGCGAGGCUAAGCGAAUCCUUUUAAAGCCGGUCUCAGUUCGGAUCGGGGUCUGCAACUCGACCCCGUGAAGUCGGAGUCGCUAGUAAU